UCCGUAGGGGGUGACCUGCGGAGGGAUCAUUACUGAGUUUACGCUCUAUAACCCUUUGUGAACAUACCUAUAACUGUUGCUUCGGCGGGUAGGGUCUCCGCGACCCUCCCGGCCUCCCGCCUCCGGGCGGGUCGGCGCCCGCCGGAGGAUAACCAAACUCUGAUUUAACGACGUUUCUUCUGAGUGGUACAAGCAAAUAAUCAAAACUUUUAACAACGGAUCUCUUGGUUCUGGCAUCGAUGAAGAACGCAGCGAAAUGCGAUAAGUAAUGUGAAUUGCAGAAUUCAGUGAAUCAUCGAAUCUUUGAACGCACAUUGCGCCCGCCAGCAUUCUGGCGGGCAUGCCUGUUCGAGCGUCAUUUCAACCCUCAAGCUCUGCUUGGUGUUGGGGCCCUACAGCUGAUGUAGGCCCUCAAAGGUAGUGGCGGACCCUCCCGGAGCCUCCUUUGCGUAGUAACUUUACGUCUCGCACUGGGAUCCGGAGGGACUCUUGCCGUAAAACCCCCCAAUUUUCCAAAGGUUGACCUCGGAUCAGGUAGGAAUACCCGCUGAACUUAAGCAUAUCAAAAGCCGGAGGAA
rnacentral:rRNA from 1 species